UUUGAGAAUUACAUGGGCAAUUUUUUGUGCCAAUCCGGUCAGGUUCGAAAGAAAGCAGCUGUAACACUGAGAGUUGGGUCGUGUAAUUCUCUUCUGA
rnacentral:SRP_RNA from 1 species